rnacentral:tRNA from 1 species
GGGGAUUUAGCUCAGCAGCAUCAGUGCCUGCCUUGCAAGCAGGCAGUCAUGAGUUCAAUCCCCG